UACGUGAGAGGCGAGCGUUGUUCGUCAUUAAUGGGUCUAAAGGGUACGUAGGCGGUAUAGUAAAUCUUUUUUUUAUUACAUCUUAGAUGAUGGAUUAGAUAAUUCUAUACUAGAGUUUAAAGGAGUAACAAAUAGUACAAGAGGAGUGUAACAAUAUGUAAAUACUUGGAGGGUUGCGAAGCGGCGAAGGCAUGUUACUAUUAAAAACUGACGCUGAGGUACGAAGGCAUGGGUAUCGAAUGGG
rnacentral:rRNA from 1 species